UUUAGAACGUCGUGAGACAGUUCGGUCCCUAUCUGGUGUGGGCGUUGGAUGAUUGAGAGGGGCUGCUCCUAGUACGAGAGGACCGGAGUGGACGAACCGCUAGUGUACCUGUUGUGUGGUCGCAUGCAUCGCAGGGUAGCUAUGUGCGGAAGUGAUAAGCCGCUGAAGGCAUCUAAGCGCGAAGCACGCUCCAAGAUAAGUAUUCCCU
rnacentral:rRNA from 12 species